rnacentral:rRNA from 1 species
UACGUAGGGUGCGAGCGUUGUCCGGAAUUAUUGGGCGUAAAGAGCUUGUAGGCGGUUUGUCGCGUCUGCUGUGAAGAUCCGGGGCUCAACCCCGGACUUGCAGUGGGUACGGGCAGACUAGAGUGUGGUAGGGGAGACUGGAAUUCCUGGUGUAGCGGUGAAAUGCGCAGAUAUCAGGAGGAACACCGAUGGCGAAGGCAGGUCUCUGGGCCACUACUGACGCUGAGAAGCGAAAGCAUGGGGAGCGAACAGGAUUAGA